UACGGAGGGUGCAAGCGUUAUCCGGAUUCACUGGGUUUAAAGGGAGCGCAGGCGGAUUUGUAAGUCAGUGGUGAAAGGCUUAAGCUUAACUUGGGAACUGCCAUUGAUACUAUAAGUCUUGAAUGUUGUUGAGGUUUGCGGAGUGGGUCAUGUAGCGGUGAAAUGCAUAGAUAUGACCCGGAACACCUAUUGCGAAGGCAGCAGGCUAAACAAAUAUUGACGCUGAGGCUCGAAAGCGUGGGGAUCAAACAGG
rnacentral:rRNA from 1 species